rnacentral:rRNA from 1 species
AUUGAACGCUGGCGGCAUGCCUUACACAUGCAAGUCGAGCGGCAGCGCGGGGGCAACCCUGGCGGCGAGCGGCGAACGGGUGAGUAAUGCAUCGGAACGUGUCCUCUUGUGGGGGAUAACCAGUCGAAAGACUGGCUAAUACCGCAUGAGCACGAGAGUGGAAAGCGGGGGACCGCAAGGCCUCGCGCGAGAGGAGCGGCCGAUGCCGGAUUAGCUAGUUGGCGGGGUAACGGCCCACCAAGGCGACGAUCCGUAGCUGGUCUGAGAGGACGACCAGCCACACUGGGACUGAGACACGGCCCAGACUCCUACGGGAGGCAGCAGUGGGGAAUUUUGGACAAUGGGGGCAACCCUGAUCCAGCCAUGCCGCGUGUGUGAAGAAGGCCUUCGGGUUGUAAAGCACUUUCGGACGGAACGAAAUCGCGCGGGCGAAUAUCCCGCGUGGAUGACGGUACCGUAAGAAGAAGCACCGGCUAACUACGUGCCAGCCGCCGCGGUAAAAC